GACCCUUUUCACAAGAUGGCGCCGAAAGCGAAGAAGGAAGCUCCUGCCACUCCUAAAGCCCAAGCCAAAGCGAAGGCUUUAAAGGCCAAGAAGGCAGUGUUGAAAGGUGUUCACAGCCACAAAAAAAAGAAGAUCCGCACGUCACCCACCUUCCAGAGGCCCAAGACACUGCGACUCCGGAGACAGCCUAAAUAUCCUCGGAAGAGCGCUCCCAGGAGAAACAAGCUUGACCACUCUGCUAUCAUCAAGUUUCCGCUGACCACUGAGUCUGCCAUGAAGAAGAUAGAAGACAACAACACACUUGUGUUCAUUGUGGAUGUUAAAGCCAACAAGCACCAGAUUAAACAGGCUGUGAAGAAGCUCUGUGUUGUGGCCAAGACAUUGGCCAAGGUCAACACCCUGAUUCGGCCUGACGGAGAGAAGAAGGCAUAUAUUCGACUGGCUCCUGAUUACGAUGCUUUGGAUGUUGCCAACAAAAUUGGUAUCAUCUAAACUGAGUCCAGCUGCCUAAUUCUAAAUAUAUAUAUAUAUAUCUUUUCACUGUAAAAAAAAAAAUAUAUAUAUAUAUAAAACUGACAAUGUUCAGCAUCCAAUAAAAAAUGACUAAACAAGUCAAGAAGCAGAAAUAUGUGACCCAUAACCAGAAAAAUAAUCACUCAAAGGAAACAGACCCAGAAAUGACAGAGAUAGAAUUAGCAGAGAAGAAUAUUAAAACACCUAUUAUAAUUAUUUUUGACUAUUUAAAUUAAAACAUGAACAAAGUGAGGAAAGAAAUUGAAGGCAUUAAAAAAAGAGAGAGAGAAGUUUCAGGAGAAUGACACCAUACUGAAGAAAGGAGUGAAGAAGACAAAAUUAAGGUAGAGAACAAAGACCAUUUAUUCAAGAAGUAUAGCUGGAAAGACAGAAAGGGGUAGCAAGGCAAAGGCUAGGCAGCUGUUGGUUGGUUUUCUUAGGAAAAAAAAAGAGAAAAAGCAAACAAGAAAAGCAAAAGAGGAGGCAGUUGAGAAAGCAAGCUUUAAUUGUUAGAGGAAAUUAUGUGAGGUUAAUGGUUCUAGGAAGCUUUAGGAGAGAAAACUUAUCUCUAAAGAGAAGAGGAAUGAUUUUAUCCUGAGGUAAUUGAAAGAGGUAAACAUAAAAUAGAGACAGAAAGUUCAAGGGAAUUAAACAAGGCCAGGGUAACUAAGGGAGUUUCAGUAAACAGGAAGCAAAAUCCUUCACUAAAAGGUGACAGGAUUGGGAAGAGCAAUGUGUGAAAAAAAAAAAAAAAUGAGAAGGGAGAGCCUGAACCAGAGA